rnacentral:lncRNA from 1 species
UGCACGCGGUACGUUACCUUAGUGUAGCUUUUUCUCCAAAGGUACCAAGUGAAUGGGAGAUAAAUGGGGAUGGCAAUUUUUUAUCCUACCCAUUUACUUAACUUGGAUUUCGCCCAUCUAAUCCAAUUUUUGCACAGGUUGGGUAUAAGUUCCAAGAUAUAUAUAUAUAAUAUUAUUAUUUUUGUAUAUAUAUACACACACACACUCACACACUUAUAUUUGUUUAAAUAAAUUUCUAGAGUGAAUUUGAGUCAUUGGAUCAAUUAUCUAAUAGCUCAAAAUCUAACUAGAUUAAUAAGAAAGGUAGAAGGACUACUAAACCUAAACCACCUUUAAUUUCCACUCUCUUCUCCUCAUCUC